AAUUAAAGAUCAUCUAAUAAAUGACCUCCACACCCUCACAAUAUACCCCCACCCCCACCCCAAAAAAAUCCUUUUAUGCCCCCCAGUAGGGUAGCAUAAAGCAGUUGAACUGUCCGUCAGUGUCAGUCAGUCUGUCUGUCCGUCCGGAAAAAACAACAACAUUGGCCAUAACUUUUUCACUUUUUAAGAUAGCAACUAGAUAUUUGGCAUGCAUGUGUAUCUCAUGGAGCUGCACAUUUUGAGUGGUGAAUGGUCAAGGUCAUCCUUCAAGGUCAAAUGUCGAAUUUAUGGUGUCUGUCCGUCUGAAAACUUUAACAUUGGCCAUAACUUUUUCAAUAUUGAAGAUAGCAACUUGAUAUUUUGCAUGCAUGUGUAUCUCAUGGAGCUAAACAUUUUGAGUGGUGAAAGGUGAAGGUAAUCCUUCAAGGUCAAAUGUCAAAUAUAUGGCGUCUGUCCGUCCGAAAACUUUAACAUUGGCCAUAACUUUUUUAAUAUUGAAGAUAGCAACUUGAUAUUUGGCAUGCAUGUGUAUCUCAUGAAGCUGCACAUUUUGAAUGGAGGAAGUUCAAGGUCAAGGUCAUCCUUCAAAGUAAAAAAAAUAAUAAAUCAAAGCGGCGUUCUCAUGAAGCUGCACAUUUUGAGUGGUGGAAGUUCAAGGUCAUCCUUCAAGGUCAAGGUCAUCCAUCAAGGUCAAAGGUAAAAAAACAAAUAUAAAAUUUCAAAGCGGCAUUAUCAUUAAGCGGCACAUUUUGAGUGGUGGAAGUUCAAGGUCAAGGUCAUUCUUCAAGGUCAAGGUCAUCCUUCAAGGUCAAAGGUAAAAAAAAAUCAAAGCGGCGUUAUCAUGAAGCUGCACAUUUUGAGUGGUGGAAGUUCAAGGUCAAGGUCAUCCUUCAAGGUCAAAAAUAAAUUAAUAAACAAAUUUCAAAGCGGCGUUCUCAUGAAGCUGCCCAUUGUGAUUGGUGGAAGUUCAAGGUCAAGACCAUCCUUCAAGGUCAAGGUCAUCCUUCAUGGUCAAAGGUCCAAAAAAAUAAUUCAAAGCGGCGUUCUCAUGAAGCUGCACAUUUUGAGUGGUGGAAGUUCAAAGUCAAGGUCAUUCUUCAAGGUCAAGGUCAUCCUUCAAGGUCAAAGGUAAAAAAAAAAAUUAUUUCAAAGCGGCGUUAUCAUGAAGCUGCACAUUUUGAGUGUUGGAAGUUAAAGGUCAAGGUCAUCCUUCAAGGUCAAGGUCAUCCUUCAAGAUCAAAUGUCAAAAAAAUAAUAUUUCAAAGCGGCCUUCUCAUAAAGCUGCACAUUUUGAGUGGUGGAAGUUCAAGGUCAUCCUUCAAGGUCAAAGGAAAAAAAUCAACAAUUAACAUUUUCAAAGCGGCGCAAUAGGGGGCAUUGUGUUUCUGACAAACACAUCUCUUGUUUUUUUCCAACAUGGUUAAAAAACACAAAUAUUUAUUUUUAUUAUUUAUUUGAAAUACCGUCCAACCAUCCCACCCAAGAAUCCCUCCCCCUCCCAAAAAAAAACAAAACUUUUUUUUGCAUUUUUUUUGCAUUUUUGGAAGAUAAUGUAAUAAAUGACCACACCACCACACUAUACACCCCUCUCCACUCCAACCCUCCCUCCUUUGUGAUUGAAAUUGAGAUAGGUCCGUACACCUUUAUAAAGAAAAAUAGAUGAGGGGUUAUUAGUUAUUAGUUUUAUUAGUUAUUCAUGCGGCGCAGUAGUGGCAAUGGGUUUCUGACAAACACAUCUCUUGUUGAGUCACUAGGUCAAAGGUUACAAAGGUCAAGGUCACUGUGACCUCUAAAAAAAAAAUUCUGACAAGCUUUCGCAGCCGAGCGUGGCACCCGUUAUGCGGUGCUCUUGUUUUAAAUUGUGUGGUAGAUUGAUAAAAUUUAUACAUCAAAAUAACAAUAAAGAUAUUUGGAAACAAUAGAAGUAUUGGUCUAUAUUUUUAAUUCAGUAUUAAAUUCAAUUUUAAAAAUAAUGUGUUUAUAUGUUCGUCUACUCCAAAUAAUCAUUUUGAAUAAGCAAAUAUAGGGUAAUAAUCUCUACGGAAAGUACACGUAGGAACUUAUCAAUCGCUUGUGUACUUCAUAUUGAUCAGGGUCUUUGUAAAUUAUUGCAUGAUUGUUUAUGCCUAUGUCUUAAUUGUGUAAAUAUCUUCAAAAGCAUUAGAUAACUGUUAAGGGGAUUUUAAUUUUAAAAUGUUAAAAUAUUAUCUAAACUGUAACCAGGCAUCUGUUGCAUUUAUUUGAACGUGUUUAAAUUUUCUUGCAUACUGAAUGUUAUAUUGUCUAUAAACGUUCGUAUUUUUACUUUUUAUUGUGGUUGUUUUGUUAAGACAAAGUUCACUAAUCCUGUUGUUUUGUUCAACCAUUUCUAUAAAAAAUGUUGUAUGUAAAUAAUUGAACAUGUUUAUGUUGGUGAUAUGCAUUUUACGAUAUAAGUUUGUUGUUGCACUCUCGAUAAAGUGCAUAGCCAUUCAUGUGUAAUAUUAUUGAUUAGUGACACUUUCUUGUUAUUACAAAUAAAAAUCUCCAAUGAU